rnacentral:rRNA from 1 species
UACGUAGGUGGCAAGCGUUGUCCGGAUUUACUGGGCGUAAAGAGCGCGCAGGCGGUCGUUCAAGUCGCGUGUGAAAGCCCCCGGCUCAACUGGGAGGGUCAGCGCGAUACUGAUCGACUCGAAGGCAGGAGAGGGAAGUGGAAUUCCCGGUGUAGUGGUGAAAUGCGUAGAUAUCGGGAGGAACACCAGUGGCGAAGGCGACUUCCUGGCCUGUUCUUGACGCUGAGGCGCGAAAGCUAGGGGAGCAAACGGGG